CGCUGGCGGCGUGCUUAACACAUGCAAGUCGAGCGAGGUCCAACCGGUGGCAACACCGGGGAAGACCUAGCGGCGAACGGGUGAGUAACACGUGAGAAACCUGCCCCGAAGUUCGGGAUAACCCGGGGAAACCCGAGCUAAUACCGGAUACCCACGAUUGGUCGCAUGGCCGAUCGUGGAAAGAACUUCGCUUCGGGAGGGUCUCGCGGCCUAUCAGCUUGUUGGUGGGGUUAAACGGGCCCACCAAGGCAUCGACGGGUAGCUGGUCUGAGAGGACGAUCAGCCACACUGGGACUGAGACACGGCCCAGACUCCUACGGGAGGCAGCAGUGGGGAAUCUUGCGCAAUGGGCGAAAGCCUGACGCAGCAACGCCGCGUGCGGGAUGAAGGCCUUCGGGUUGUAAACCGCUUUCAGUAGGGACGAAAUUGACGGUACCUACAGAAGAAGCCCCGGCCAACUACGUG
rnacentral:rRNA from 1 species